rnacentral:rRNA from 1 species
GGUAACCUUUAUGGAGCCAGCCGCCGAAGGUGGGGCAGAUGAUUGGGGUGAAGUCGUAACAAGGUAGCCGUAUCGGAAGGUGCGGCUGGAUCACCUCCUUUCUAAGGA